AGUGCUGUAAAACGCCAAAGUGCACUUAUAAUGGGGGCCAUUUGCAAUACAUGCAGGCAUCGUUGGGUAUCGAUGUAUGUGUGCGAAAAAUGUAAAACCAAAAAAAAUAGCCUGCAAUGUUUAUAUUUAUACAUAAGAUGUGCGCAUCUAUGGCGCAUGGUUUAUAUUGUACAUGCAACCAGGAAUAGCAACAACAAAAAGCAGCAGCAGCAGCAGCAGCACGAAAGCCAGAAACAAGAAUUAUAGACCAAAAGCCAGUUGCAAGUAAACUUCAGCUAGAUACACACACACACAUCUGUGUGUGUGUGUGUGUGUGCGCAGGAAACGUCUGUGUGUGACUAGAAGAAGUGAAGGCCCCAGCACAGAGAAGCACCAGCAUCAGCAUUUUUUUUUUUUUUUCGUUUUUCCAGCAAUUGUGAUUUCAGUUGCCAGCGAGCAACGACAAAGUCGACAACGACAACGAUGACGACGAUCGACAACAAACAAACAAUGAAUAUCAAUAAAUUUUGCUUGAAAAACAUACAAACACGCACACACACACACACACAGAAAUAUGCACAUGUUGCGCUUGUGUAUUAGUUGCAGCAUGCCUGUUGCUGUGUCAGCAACUGCAUCAAGAUGCAGCAACUGCAUUGUCGGGCUGCUGCAAUUUACUAACACACACACACACACACACACACACAUACACACGUUUAGAUGCAUAUGUACGUUUUUCAUUAUCAUAAAACGAGA